GUUUGCCCCUGGGAGUGACCCAUUUUCGUGCGACCACACACGCAGCUCUUGGCUAGCAGCCACGCUGGCUGGUCACCUCCAAGCUUGAGGAUACUAGUUGGCGGCUUCUUGUCGCGAGCACACCAAAAUGGAUCUCUGCUUCGGGCCGCGGUGGGAACUCCAGGUUUCCUUUUUCAUCCGCCCCUCUAAUUGUUUUCGAGAACAGAGAUGGGAGCAACCUGCAAUUUGUGCUGCAUGUUCAAGAAAUUGUUUUGACUUGAUAGAGAAAAAGAAAAUGAAGAGAAGGAUUACCAUCUCAUUUGCCUCGAUUUACUAUAAAGAACACAUGUGACAGCAAGUCCAGGAUGAAGUUAAAACAAGAUGCACAAGUUCAUAUUUUCUAUGCUUUUCAGUUCAUCUACUUCCUGAUGGGCCAGGGGAGAAGGCAGAAUCUCUGGGUGCAUGAUGGAAAAAAUUGCAAGUUCUUGUUUAGAUGUUCAGGAUACCCUUCUCUCAUUUCAUUUAUGCUCAGGAUAGGAGGUGCAUGAUGGAAAAUUGUGUAUCAUGUAGUUCUUGUUUAGAUGUCGUGCAAGUUCAAAAAUAGUCAAUUUUGCCACUGGAGAGAACCCGUUGGUUGCAUUGUUUUUCCAGUGUGACGUCCCUUGGUAUGUUUGGAGUAUUGUUGUUGUUGCUCUGCAUGCGAA